rnacentral:rRNA from 1 species
UACGUAGGGGGCAAGCGUUGUCCGGAUUUAUUGGGCGUAAAGCGCGUGUAGGUGGCCAUGUAGGUCCGCUGUGAAAACUUGAGGCUCAACCUCAAGCUGUCGGUGGAAACCACUUGGCUAGAGUCCGGAAGAGGAGAGUGGAAUUCCUGGUGUAGCGGUGAAAUGCGCAGAUAUCAGGAAGAACACCAAUGGCGAAGGCAGCUCUCUGGGACGGUACUGACACUGAGACGCGAAAGCGUGGGGAGCGAACAGG